rnacentral:rRNA from 1 species
UACGUAGGUGGCAAGCGUUGUCCGGAUUUACUGGGCGUAAAGGGCGUGCAGGCGGUUUGUUAAGUGCAGGGUGAAAGCUCCCGGCUCAACUGGGAGAGGUCCUUGCAUACUGGCAAACUCGAGGGAGGCAGAGGAAAGUGGAAUUCCCGGUGUAGUGGUGAUAUGCGUAGAUAUCUGGAGGAAUACCGGUGGCGAAGGCGGCAUCCUGGACCGACAUUGACGCUGAGCGGCGAAAGCUAGGGGAGCAAACGGG